GGAUAACAUCGAGAAAUUGGUACUAAUACCCCAUAACAUCACCGGAGGCAUCUUCGGUGGUUGAAAACUCAGGUGGUCAGAGAUGGACAUGCGUUGUAUUAGCUAGUUGGUGAGGUAACGGCUCACCAAGGCGACGAUACAUAGGGGGACUGAGAGGUCAACCCCCCACAUUGGUACUGAGACACGGACCAAACUCCUACGGGAGGCAGCAGUGAGGAAUAUUGGUCAAUGGACGCAAGUCUGAACCAGCCAUGCCGCGUGCAGGAAGACGGCUCUAUGAGUUGUAAACUGCUUUUGUACGAGGGUAAAUCCCGAUACGUGUAUCGGGUUGAAAGUAUCGUACGAAUAAGGAUCGGCUAACUCCGUGCCAGCAGCCGCGGUAAUACGGAGGAUUCAAGCGUUAUCCGGAUUUAUUGGGUUUAAAGGGUGCGUAGGCGGUUCGAUAAGUUAGAGGUGAAAUCCCGGGGCUCAACUCCGGCACUGCCUCUGAUACUGUCGGGCUAGAGUUUAGUUGCGGUAGGCGGAAUGUAUGGUGUAGCGGUGAAAUGCAUAGAGAUCAUACAGAACACCGAUUGCGAAGGCAGCUUACCAAACUACGACUGACGUUGAGGCACGAAAGCGUGGGGAGCAAACAGGAUUAGAUACCCUGGUAGUCCACGCAGUAAACGAUGAUAACUGGUUGUCGGCGAUAAAAUGUCGGU
rnacentral:rRNA from 1 species